rnacentral:misc_RNA from 1 species
AGGCAAGGCAAAGGUGUCACAAAUACAUGUCAAGUUUGUGAAAGGACCCUUCUUGAUUCUUUCAAAUUUUGCUCUCUUGGUUGCAAGGUUAUUGGGACCUCAAAGAACUUCAUUAAGAAACCGAGGGACUUAUCAGCAAAAAGGCAGUUAAAGGCGAUAGCAUCGGACUCCGAUGACCCUUACAGCCCCAACAACCAUAGUCGAUAUAGAAGUACCAUCAUCAACAAGGUGCAAAGUUUUAUUCCAUCGACACCCCCUCCAAGUUCUGUUAAUUACAGAACGGCCAAACGAAGAAAAGGAAUUCCACAUAGGUCCCCAAUGGGAGGACUAGUUAUAGAAUAUUAAGUCCUAAACUUAUA